rnacentral:rRNA from 1 species
AUGAACGCUGGCGGCGUGCCUAAUACCUGCAAGUCGCGCGAACGGACGAGCAGCUUGCUUCUCUGAUGUUAGCGGCGGACGGGUGAGUAACACGUGGAUAACCUACCUAUAAGACUGGGAUAACUUCGGGAAACCGGAGCUAAUACCGGAUAAUAUUUUGAACCGCAUGGUUCAAAAGUGAAAGACGGUCUUGCUGUCACUUAUAGAUGGAUCCGCGCUGCAUUAGCUAGUUGGUAAGGUAACGGCUUACCAAGGCAACGAUGCAUAGCCGACCUGAGAGGGUGAUCGGCCACACUGGAACUGAGACACGGUCCAGACGCCUACGGGAGGCAGCAGUAGGGAAUCUUCCGCAAAGGGCGAAAGCCUGACGGGGCAACGCCGCGUGAGUGAUGAAGGUCUUCGGAUCGUAAAACUCUGUUAUUAGGGAAGAACAUAUGUGUAAGUAACUGUGCACAUCUUGACGGUACCUAAUCAGAAAGCCACGGCUAACUACGUG